ensembl:lncRNA
ACGCAUCACUCACAUUGUCCACUACCAUUAAUAUCUACACACACCUUAUGCAUCAAAUCCUGCCUAAAACCCCUGCUUUCCUUAAAAAACGUAAUCAAUAUUCUACCCUGUGCCCUACUGAAAGCAGCCAACAACUUAUCAUUUUGACAUCUCGCGUGAUUCUGUGAGAUUUCGACAACUUCAAGUUACGCCUCCUACUUCAAGUUACGCCUCUUUCAAGUUACGCCCCUGUCUUGCAGUCUGCAGACGUACACGCUUGUGGUCAAGACGGACAGUUCUGAGCUCUCAAAGUGGAACAGAUACCUACGAGAUCAAAGGCAGAUAUCGCGUUAUUCUCACUCACGUGCUGUGUUGCUAAUAAACAUGAUAUAAUUUCAGUUCUGUUGCUUUUAUAUGAAAAUAAAUAUGAUGAACAAGACACUCAAGGUGCUUGCUAUUUAAUUCCAUACGAAAGCCGUAUUUAUCAUCCGUUUUUACUUUAAUACAAACAUGUAUUUUAGAUUUUUAUAGAAAUAUGACAACAAUCACAUAUCUCACACAUAUAUCGCACUGUAAUAGUGUUUGGGAAGAUUCAUGAAUAAUUUAAAUACAUAAUCACAUGAAAUCAGAUAAAAAAAUAAAAUAUUUUAGAAGAGAACGCAGCAUCACAGUUGUCUGAACCAAUGAGAUUUAAGCUGUGUCGUCAGUCAGUUGUUUCCCAUCAUGCUUUUGAUCAGCGCAGUCGGUGGAGAGCCACUGCACUCGACUGCUCAAUCCGACACAGCCUCGCCGUCGCGAGAGUUUUUCGGCACACGUCAGCAUGACAUCAGAGCAAGGCGGACGUAACUCGGACACUUUUCUAACCGGCAUGCAUCUCGCGGUGAUCACCGGUGAUCGGUUCUGCGCAGAUUUUGUUCAUCUCAAACAAGCCUAAAUUCUCUCCCCAAUGUGACGUAAUGCAAUGCAUUGUGGGGGAAAGGAGAAUCGUUGCAAACCGCUGUAAGAUAGUACCUACUUUUUCGUAUUUUAUUCCAUUUUGUGAUACCCAACAACAUAAAAUACAAUGGAUAACAGUUUAAAUGUUCAUUACCAACAAGCAAAUUGCACAAAUUCGUUGAAAAAUUAACCAUGCAACACGAGCUUUCGGCGGGUAGUCGCCAAUGGCGACCUCAGCAAAAACGUCACUCGCAAAUUAAUAUUUAUGGUCGCAAAUGCGACCGUUUUAGUCGCAGUUUGGGAAAAUGGCCAGCAUCAGUCCGUCCCCUGUAUUCAAUCUGCAUGCUUUGUUUAAAUUGUCGAGACAGGGGUAACUGCAGCCUGGAGGAAUGGGCGUGCCAAAAGGUUUCUCAUUGGUCAAAGGAGUUUUACUGUGUUGGCCAAUCAGCGGUAAAUAUACAUACAUACUGUAUGUACAGUGAGACAAAACGAUGACCGCAUCUGCAUCGAAGGCGAAGACUUCAGAGCUGAUAGUUUGUAUCGGCGUCCUUUUUGUGCAAUACAGUACAGAAUACAUCCUGUAUCCAACUAAUGCAGAGUAUAUUCAAGUUGCCAACACACUGGUUGUGAAGAACCCUGUCCAGAGAAAUAUAAAAGGAAAUGACUGUGAAACUUGUGUUGGGGAGGAUUCAAAAACACAUCCAGACACCUGGACUGUCAAAGACCACUCGGCACGAACAUUCUCCUGGAGAUGCUGAGAAAGCACAGAAGGAAUGUCUGUGGAGGAUGUACUCAAACACACCCAUACUUAAGGACACCUGCUGGAGGGGACCCUGCUACACCCUUUCCUACCAUACAGCUGAUGGAUACUGACUGGAAAAUGGUAAUCAUAGGAGGAGGGCUCAGUGUGGUGACAGAAGAUGGAAUAGACGUGUGCCAGUGCACCAGCCUUGAUGAAGCCUUCAUAACAGCCUUCUGUAUCAUUGACUGGAAGUCUGUCAGUCCAGAUGUGAGGAAGACCUACAGAGUGAGUUUGAGCUCAGCAGGUGUGAUGGCUGUGGAUGCAUCUACAAAAACACCACUGGAUACUGUAGCCAUGGAAAGAAGGGGGUCUUCACAGCUUUCUAUUCAGACAAAGAGUUUGCUGAAUUCUGUUCUAUGGACUGCUACUACAGAAUGAAUGAAUGAGUGGUUUAUCUAUCUAUCUAUCUGUCU